UACGAAGGGGGCUAGCGUUGUUCGGAAUCACUGGGCGUAAAGGGCGCGUAGGCGGCUUUUCAAGUCGGGGGUGAAAGCCUGUGGCUCAACCACAGAAUUGCCUUCGAUACUGUUAGGCUUGAGACCGGAAGAGGUGAGUGGAACUGCGAGUGUAGAGGUGAAAUUCGUAGAUAUUCGCAAGAACACCAGUGGCGAAGGCGGCUCACUGGUCCGGUUCUGACGCUGAGGCGCGAAAGCGUGGGAAGCAAACAGG
rnacentral:rRNA from 1 species